rnacentral:snRNA from 1 species
GCAUAUGAGGACAAUCUGGCUAUGACAUCUAUCACCCCAUUAAUUACCAGAGUUGAUUAGGUUGAUCUGGCUGGCUAGGUGGGUGUUCCCUUCCUCCCUCACCACCCCAUAUGUGUCUCCCCAAAGCUGCAUACUCGGUGGAAGAGGACAACCACCCCUGAUAGAGGAGGACCAUUUCCUUGGUCAGGGGUAUACAGGUAGCUGUACUCACCUGGUAGAAUUUCCAAACAACCUUGCGGAGUCAUAUGUUGAAGCCCUAACUCCCAAUAUGGCUAUUUUUGGAGGUAAAGCUUUCAAAAAAGGUUGCUGAGAUGAAAUGAAGUC